rnacentral:rRNA from 1 species
UACGAGGGGGGCGAGCGUUGUUCGGAAUUAUUGGGCGUAAAGGGUGCGUAGGCGGUUUGGUAAGUCUGAUGUGAAAUCUAUGGGCUCAACUCAUAGUCUGCAUCGGAAACUGCCGGGCUUGAGUGUGGGAGAGGUGAGUGGAAUUCCUGGUGUAGCGGUGAAAUGCGCAGAUAUCAGGAGGAACACCGAUGGCGAAGGCAGCUCGCUGGGACGGUGACUGACGCUGAGGCGCGAAAGCGUGGGGAGCAAACAGG